UCACCCCGCGCGGGAGAGUCCGAGCCCCCAGCUCGGCGCCGAAGGAGCAAAUCCUCCCCGGAACCUCUCAGGCCCCAGGACCGCGCGGGCGAG
rnacentral:ncRNA from 2 species